rnacentral:rRNA from 1 species
UGGGGGAUAUUGCGCAAUGGGGGGAACCCUGACGCAGCAACGCCGCGUGAAGGAUGAAGGUUUUCGGAUUGUAAACUUCUUUAAGUGUGGAAGAAGAUGACGGUACACACAGAAUAAGCCACGGCUAACUACGUGCCAGCAGCCGCGGUAAUACGUAGGUGGCGAGCGUUGUCCGGAUUUACUGGGUGUAAAGGGCGUGUAGGCGGGUUGUCAAGUCAGAUGUGAAAUACCGGGGCUUAACUCCGGGGCUGCAUUUGAAACUGACAGUCUUGAGUGCCGGAGAGGAAAGCGGAAUUCCUAGUGUAGCGGUGAAAUGCGUAGAUAUUAGGAGGAACACCAGUGGCGAAGGCGGCUUUCUGGACGGUAACUGACGCUGAGGCGCGAAAGCAUGGGGAGCAAACAGG